rnacentral:rRNA from 1 species
UACGUAGGGUGCAAGCGUUAAUCGGAAUUACUGGGCGUAAAGCGUGCGCAGGCGGUGAUGUAAGACAGAUGUGAAAUCCCCGGGCUCAACCUGGGAACUGCAUUUGUGACUGCAUCGCUGGAGUACGGCAGAGGGGGAUGGAAUUCCGCGUGUAGCAGUGAAAUGCGUAGAUAUGCGGAGGAACACCGAUGGCGAAGGCAAUCCCCUGGGCCUGUACUGACGCUCAUGCGCGAAAAGCGUGGGGGAGCAAACAGG